CAAAUUCGUAUCUAGGGGAGU
rnacentral:miRNA from 18 species